rnacentral:misc_RNA from 1 species
UUUAUGGGCUGCUGGUGGUAUUUUGUCUUAUUCGCUCGGAAUGGUCGGGCUGGGACCAAGCGCCGGUCGGAAUGGGGAGCCUUCUGCCCGAUUAGUUUCUGUGUCGGCUGCGGCGAGAGAGGCAAUGGACUUUGUAUUGGUGUUUGAAAGGGAGUAUGGUUCUAGAAGGCCGAAUUUUGUAACUGAAGGGUUCAUGGACGCCUUGCAGAGUGGUCGAGGAACGCCUACAAACUGUUGUUUGUGUAUUUACAUUCUCCAGAUCAUCAGGACACGCCUCUGUUUUGCGAGAGGACUCUUUGUUCGGAGGUUUUCACUGCUUUUGUGAAUGAGAAUUUCGUGGCCUGGGGAGGGAGCAUUAGAGCUAGUGAAGGAUUUAAGAUGAGCAAUAGCUUGAAGGCUUCCAGAUAUCCGUUUUGUGCCGUGGUUAUGCCUGCUACAAACCAAAGGAUCGCUUUGCUUCAACAGGUUGAGGGUCCAAAAUCUCCUGAAGAAAUGCUCAUGAUACUACAGAGAGUGCUUGAAGAAAGUGCACCUGUCCUUGUUGCUGCAAGACUUGAAUCAGAAGAAAGAAGAAACAACAUGCAGUUGAGAGAAGAACAAGAUGCUGCUUACAGAGCAGCACUUGAAGC